UCCCACUGUACAGCAAGGGGGUCAGGUUAUCCUUAGAUGUAUACAUUGCAGUUACAGUUUUUUCCCCCACCCUUUCUUCUGUUGCGACAUUGCAAUUCUUUGUUGAACCCAAAUAAACCCAUUUUUGCUGGAGAAAUAGCUGGGAGUCUAUUUGUUUUAGGUCAACAUGUGUCAAUGGCAGAAACAGGAAAAGGACAUUCCAACUUUGACCAGACAGCCCAAACUCAGAUACAACUUUGCAUUAUUAUGCAGUGUUUACAUUUCACCUGAAUUCCCAACGUCAAAGUAAUUAAAAGAAUGUAUGGGAGUUCCUGUCGUGGCGCAGUGGUUAACGAAUCCGACUAGGAACCAUGAGGUUGUGGGUUCGAUCCCUGGCCUUGCUCAAUGGGUUAAGGAUCCAGCAUUGCUGUGCGCUGUGGCGUAGGCCAGUGGCUAUAGCUCCGAUUGGACUCCUAGCCUGGGAACCUCCACGUGCCAUGGGAGUGACCCUAGAAAAAGGCAAAAAGACAAAAAAAAAAAAAAAAAAAAAAAAAAAAGAAUGUAUGAAAUACUAUUUGUCUAAGAACUACAUUUCUGCCCAAAAAGGGGGAAGAGAGAGAGGAAAGCGGGCUUAAAAUCCAAAGCAAUAAAAUAUUACAUAGUAUACAAUAUUGUCGGUGAUGCAAAAGCCUUAGUAUUCACAAAGCCUUUUUCACAGUCCCAAUAUGUACCCUAUAAAGAGGAUUUCGGAACACUGUAACUGCCAUGUGUUUCAUAGUCAAUAUGGUUUGAGUGAUAAGGCUCUUUUCUCUUCCCUUCAACUUUUCUAGUGCCUAUACUGUGCUUUCAUUCUGUCCUUUCUGCUUGUAUGUAUAUUUAACUCUUUACCUCCAAAUAAAGAAUGCUGCCUAUCUGUGACUGUGACUGGCAAUAAGUUCCUUUGUGAAAAAUCUUAGUUUAAUUCAUGAACUAGAAUGAUAUCUAUUGGCAUUCUUUUUAACGUACUGUGAACAAAUAACUUUGGAGCAAUUAUCUAGAAUAUGGCCAUCAUCACUUCCCCCUCAUCCCUUGGUAUUUUAUACCCAUGCCAUACUCACAGGCACUCUGUCAGAAAGGAGCAGUUUCCUAAGGAGCAUGUGAGCACAUCCACCUGUGGCACCAGACAAUAAGAAUGGAUACAAGAGAAUCCACUAGGAAGAAAGAGCCUUCAGGUCUUCCUGACUGGAUAAAAAAAGCUAGGGAGAAAGGAAAGAGUCCAACUUAAAUCAGAGGUUUCAAGCUGGGCAAUAAAGAGAAUCAUGACACCAAGAGGAAACAGAAAAGAGAACUGUUUUGAGAGCAAAAUAAUGCAUUUCACUUGAGAUAUGGGAUUUUAAAACUGAUGACUGCAUAUUCAAACAGAAAUGUCUAGCAGAUAACUACAGAUACAAUAUUGCAGCUAAAGGGAGGGGGCAGGCCCUGAGAGGGUGAUUUGAUCAUUUUCAUUUAUGCAAUGGUUAUGGCAUUAUAAUGUAUGAAACAUAUAAAGAGAAGGAGUGAAGAAAGACAAGCAGAGCAUAUGGCUGGACCUUUAAGGUAUAAAGAAGAAGAGAACUCAAUGAAAGGGACAGGAGAAUAGUAAUCAGAGAAACUAGGUAAGAACUGUAGUGGCUCAGAGUUAUAGAGGUCAAGGAAGGAAGAUAAUCAAGAAAGUAGGGAUCUCAGUUCCACUGAACACAGGAAAAAAGACCAAUGAGAAUGGGGACCAAGAAAAAAAAUUAGGUUUAGAAAUUUAGGGGCUGCUAAUAUGAGUCAGAUUUUAGAAUAAUGAGGAAGUGGGAAAGAUGGAUGACAGCACUGAGUAACUGAAAGAUAAUAUACUUUUAUUUUCUAGUAGCUACAUUAAAAAUUUUCUAGUAGCUACAUUAAAAAAGUAAAAAAGCAAAGCUUUGAAGUGGAAAAAAAGGAAGGAUUUGGGUAUGUCUUGAGUAAAGGCUAUUGACAUGGGGCUAGACAGGCUAGCUCACUAGAAGUAAGGCAUGUUAUGUGAUUAGUCAGGGGUACAUAUUUGGCUUUUUCUGGUUGGUCCUAACUUGGAAGCAGGGACAAAAAUUAGAGAAGCUGUUAGUUAUUCAUCAAGUUCUGGGCAUUUGAGGCAGAUUAUAACAGGGGUUAUUGUUUGGUUGCAUUUCUUUAAAUUGUUACUAGAGAUAGCAGUCUGACUUCCUAUCAGUCUGAUAUACAGCAAGCUGGCUUCCUGUGGUGCUGACCAUAGAUAAUGAGUUGGUUUCCUGAGCAGGCUGCUGCAAAUUGUGGGUCAGAGUUAUAUUUAUAUAUAUGGUCUGGCCAUUAUCCAUUUGUAUAUUUAGUCUCUCAAUAGCCUGGCAUCUGUUAUUCAAAUUCUCUUGAAUCUAGCAUAGCUCAGGAAUGUCACAUGUUAAAAGUCAAAAUACCUAACUAAAAAUCUCCACUUUUCCCUAAUUAGUAGUGAGAUCCCAAACUAAUCAUUAAACAUCUCUGAACCUCAAAUUUUCUCAUCCAAAACUGAAAAGCAAUCAAAAGUUUUCAGUUCCAGAAAACAGACAAGGAAGACAGAAAGAAAAAAUGAAGAUGUCAACCACAGAACAAACUAACAAUGUUUCAAUACUGACUAAAUAUAAUUAAACAAAAAAUUAUAGAUAUGAAAAUAUUAAAACUCCAUCUACAAAUGAAUAAGAAGCAAAAAGAGAUGUGAAAUCAUAGCUAACCAAACAAUGGGAGAUGUUGGGGAAAAAUUAUGUCAACAAUUAAGACUAAAUUACAAAAUUUCUAUGCACCAAAACAGGCAUAGAAUGGUAUUGGAAACUUAUAAACUAAACAGAAGCCUAAAAU
rnacentral:lncRNA from 1 species